CCAAAGGCUCUUUUAAGAGCCACCCAUUUCUGCACAAGUAGAGCUGU
rfam:Erinaceus europaeus unplaced genomic scaffold scaffold00740, whole genome shotgun sequence